rnacentral:rRNA from 1 species
GACGAACGCUGGCGGCGUGCCUAACACAUGCAAGUCGAGCGGAGCUAGUAGCAAUAUUAGUUUAGCGGCGGACGGGUGAGUAACGCGUGGGCAACCUGCCUUCUACAGGGGGAUAACACAGGGAAACUUGUGCUAAUACCGCAUAACAUACUUAAGGGACAUCCCUUGGGUAUCAAAGGAGCAAUCCGGUAGAAGAUGGGCCCGCGUCCGAUUAGCUAGUUGGAGGCGUAACGGACCACCAAGGCGAUGAUCGGUAGCCGAACUGAGAGGUUGAUCGGCCACAUUGGGACUAAGACACGGCCCAGACUCCUACGGGAGGCAGCAGUGGGGAAUAUUGCGCAAUGGGGGAAACCCUGACGCAGCAACACCGCGUGAAGGAUGAAGGUCUUCGGAUUGUAAACUUCUUUAGUCGGGGACGAAGAAAUGACGGUACCCGAAGAAUAAGCCACGGCUAACUACGUGCCAGCCGCCGCCGUAA